rnacentral:rRNA from 1 species
CGGCGAGGGGAGUGAAAAAGAACCUGAAACCGUGUACGUACAAGCAGUGGGAGCACGCUUAGGCGUGUGACUGCGUACCUUUUGUAUAAUGGGUCAGCGACUUAUAUUCUGUAGCAAGGUUAACCGAAUAGGGGAGCCGAAGGGAAACCGAGUCUUAACUGGGCGUUAAGUUGCAGGGUAUAGACCCGAAACCCGGUGAUCUAGCCAUGGGCAGGUUGAAGGUUGGGUAACACUAACUGGAGGACCGAACCGACUAAUGUUGAAAAAUUAGCGGAUGACUUGUGGCUGGGGGUGAAAGGCCAAUCAAACCGGGAGAUAGCUGGUUCUCCCCGAAAGCUAUUUAGGUAGCGCCUCGUGAAUUCAUCUCCGGGGGUAGAGCACUGUUUCGGCAAGGGGGUCAUCCCGACUUACCAACCCGAUGCAAACUGCGAAUACCGGAGAAUGUUAUCACGGGAGACACACGGCGGGUGCUAACGUCCGUCGUGAAGAGGGAAACAACCCAGACCGCCAGCUAAGGUCCCAAAGUCAUGGUUAAGUGGGAAACGAUGUGGGAAGGCCCAGACAGCCAGGAUGUUGGCUUAGAAGCAGCCAUCAUUUAAAGAAAGCGUAAUAGCUCACUGGUCGAGUCGGCCUGCGCGGAAGAUGUAACGGGGCUAAACCAUGCACCGAAGCUGCGGCAGCGACGCUGAUGCGUUGUUGGGUAGGGGAGCGUUCUGUAAGCCUGCGAAGGUGUGCUGUGAGGCAUGCUGGAGGUAUCAGAAGUGCGAAUGCUGACAUAAGUAACGAUAAAGCGGGUGAAAAGCCCGCUCGCCGGAAGACCAAGGGUUCCUGUCCAACGUUAAUCGGGGCAGGGUGAGUCGACCCCUAAGGCGAGGCCGAAAGGCGUAGUCGAUGGGAAACAGGUUAAUAUUCCUGUACUUGGUGUUACUGCGAAGGGGGGACGGAGAAGGCUAUGUUGGCCGGGCGACGGUUGUCCCGGUUUA